CCGCCGAUUCUACGCCGCCCGGUCGCCAGGGAGAGUGAAUACAGCUAGGGACGUGAAAGAACGGGGAAGAUAACCGAAGGGUGGUUUGAGAAACCCACCAGGCCAACUGGGAAUUAGAAUUGAUUCAAAACUCCAUUGAUCGCCUGACCUCCAUAAGCUCCUACUCUGCUGCAGUUGAGUGCUGCCACUUAAAUCCUGCAGUCCCGAGAUCCGGUUAUAACCAAUGCAUUUAGAUUUUUCAUUUCGGUGGCAACAAUCUUCAUUGUAAGUUCUGUCCUACAGAGAAGUGUGGUGAUCAAGCUCUUUGGAGAUACUGGGACUCCUCUCACAAAUGUAUGUCUCACAGUUAUGAUGAAUGGUGUAUCUCCUGGAUCUUCCUCAGUUGAGUAUGUUUUAAAGGAAAAAUACACUUUAUCAUUCAAAUCUUUCAAA
rnacentral:lncRNA from 10 species